rnacentral:rRNA from 1 species
UACGGGAGGCAGCAGUGGGGAAUAUUGCACAAUGGGCGAAAGCCUGAUGCAGCUAUGCCGCGUGUAUGAAGAAGGCCUUAGGGUUGUAAAGUACUUUCAUCGGGGAGGAAAAACAAAACUAAUAAUUUUAUUUCUUGACGUUACCCGAAAAAGAAGCACCGGCUAACUCCGUGCCAGCAGCCGCGGUAAUACGGAGGGUGCUAGCGUUAAUCAGAAUUACUGGGCGUAAAGAGCACGUAGGUGGUUUUUUAAGUUCAGAUGUGAAAUCCCUGGGCUUAACCUAGGAACUGCAUUUUGAAACUGAAAUACUAGAGUAUCGUAGAGGGAGGUAGAAUUCUAGGUGUAGCGGUGAAAUGCGUAGAUAUCUGGAGGAAUACCUGUGGCGAAAGCGGCCUCCUAAACGAAUACUGACACUGAGGUGCGAAAGCGUGGGGAGCAAACAGGGAUUAGAUACC